rnacentral:rRNA from 1 species
GCGGCGAGCGAGCGGGAGAGCUCAAAUUUAUAAUCUGGCACCUUCGGUGUCCGAGUUGUAAUCUCUAGAAAUGUUUUCCGCGUUGGACCGCACACAAGUCUGUUGGAAUACAGCGGCAUAGUGGUGAGACCCCCGUAUAUGGUGCGGACGCCCAGCGCUUUGUGAUACAUUUUCGAAGAGUCGAGUUGUUUGGGAAUGCAGCUCAAAUUGGGUGGUAAAUUCCAUCUAAAGCUAAAUAUUGGCGAGAGACCGAUAGCGAACAAGUACCGUGAGGGAAAGAUGAAAAGCACUUUGGAAAGAGAGUUAACAGUACGUGAAAUUGUUGGAAGGGAAACGCUUGAAGUCAGACUUGCUUGCCGAGCAAUCGGUUUGCAGGCCAGCAUCAGUUUUCCGGGAUGGAUAAUGGUAGAGAGAAGGUAGCAGUUUCGGCUGUGUUAUAGCUCUCUGCUGGAUACAUCUUGGGGGACUGAGGAACGCAGUGUGCCUUUUGGCGGGGGUUUCGACCUCUUCACACUUAGGAUGCUGGUGGAAUGGCUUUAAACGACCCGUCUUGAACCACGGACC